GAUGAACGCUGGCGGCGUGCCUAAUACAUGCAAGUCGAGCGAACGGACGAGAAGCUUGCUUCUCUGAUGUUAGCGGCGGACGGGUGAGUAACACGUGGAUAACCUACCUAUAAGACUGGGAUAACUUCGGGAAACCGGAGCUAAUACCGGAUAAUAUUUUGAACCGCAUGGUUCAAAAGUGAAAGACGGUCUUGCCGUCACUUAUAGAUGGAUCCGCGCUGCAUUAGCUAGUUGGUAAGGUAACGGCUUACCAAGGCAACGAUGCAUAGCCGACCUGAGAGGGUGAUCGGCCACACUGGAACUGAGACACGUUCCAGACUCCUACGGGAGGCAGCAGUAGGGAAUCUUCCGCAAUGGGCGAAAGCCUGACGGAGCAACGCCGCGUGAGUGAUGAAGGUCUUCGGAUCGUAAAACUCUGUUAUUAGGGAAGAACAUAUGUGUAAGUAACUGUGCACAUCUUGACGGUACCUAAUCAGAAAGCCACGGCUAACUACGU
rnacentral:rRNA from 1 species